rnacentral:lncRNA from 10 species
GGAAAAUACUAACAUAGAGAUGUUUCAAAAAUAUAUUUCUUACUUGUUCUAUUUAUUUUUAUUCUCCACUUAUUGAAUCAAGGGUGUUCUGCAGCCUCGGUUUGAGAAAUAGCUGGUGGAGCCUCUCUCUCUUUCUCACCUCCACCGUCUUCCUGCCCAGUUUGCCCUGUGAUCUUCCCCUGUAUACAAGCCCUGAUCAUGGUUAACUGCCUUCUGAAAGGACAAACUCAAAGAAUCCAGCCAAAUCCUCAAGGAUCACGGUGUUAUCAACAGUCAUCUGAGUUGAGAAUAUAUACAAUUAUAUACAGAAUGUAUUCUUUAAUCUUCUUCUAACAAAGUUACAUAUAAAAGUGGGGUUAUUUUUAAGGUCCUUCAUAAAAAGAAGAGAAUGCUUCCAAUUAUGCCUAAUUAAGCCCAUACACGAUUUUUUUUUCUUCCUGAUUCACUAGGCCUUAGAAGCAGGAACUCCAGUACCUAAGGGAAGGAUGCUGCAGCCGCGUGUCUGUGGAUACUGAAGGAGCAAUGACUUGAUGGAGAGUCAGCUGAAGAUUUUAUUCAACAAGAAAAAUGUUCUGUAGAGAAAGUACGAAUGGAUCAUGUGAAUAAGUAGGGAAAACACUGUUUAAAAGUUCAAGAGAACAGAAUAUUUUAAAAUUGUAUCUUAGAAUCUGCCACUCAUGUACACAUCUCAGAUGUGCCAGUUUCUCUCCAUCUUGCUCUAGUCUACAACAGUUAAUGAGGAGCAGCAUGUUUGAGGCCACAUUGAGGACAUAUGCUGUGGAAAGUUGUGCCUUGGCCUUAGAGCCACAGAAUUCUCAGUGCUAAUCCCCGCUCACCACUUAAUAGCUGUGUGAGCUUUGGUAAAUCAAGGGAUUUCAAAUCACUUGAUUUCUCUGUGCCCCAAUUCCUUCUUCACCCUCUGGGGAUCUAGUAAAGACUGAGUUAGCACACAGAGAAUAUCUAGCUACUUCAUUAUAUGGCAGCAUAUGGUACCUAUAGAUACUCAAUAAAUAUUAGUUCCUUCCUCAUCUUUCCCUCCUUUCAGUUGCUUCAUUUACGUAAAAAUAAUACAUCUUCUUAUAUUUAAAAAGAAAUAGUUCAAGACCAGCCUGGGCAACAUAGUGAGACCCUGUCUCUACAAAGUAAAAAAUUGGCUGGGUAUGGUGGUGUCCAGCUGUCCCAGCUACUCAGGAGGCUGAGGUGAGAGGAUCUUAUGAGCCCAGGAGUUCGAGACUAGAGUGAGCUAUAAUUGCGCCACUGCACUCCAGCCUGGGCAACAAAGCAAGAACUCACCAAUAAAAUAAAAUAAAAUUUAAAAUAAAAUAAAAUAAAAUAAUUUUAGGCUUUCCAUUGAUUUAGAUUGGCCUUCCUCAAAUCAAGACUGAUCGCUGUUUGUCUAGUUAAUAAGACUAGUUCUAUUCUGAGACAGGGAUGAGAAAUUUGCUUUUAGCUUUGAACUCUGCUUCCAGAACUGCAACUCCAACAUCAGGUCACUUACAGAAUAAGCCCCUUGCUGAUGUGAGAGGUGCUUUUCUAUGUAUGUAUUCUGGAAACAAUGGAACCUGUAGUAUUUGGAGAUAUCACAAAGAACUUAUGGCAGAGGUGGCUACUGUCUACCAAAGAUUCAUAUUUUCCUUCUACCAUGCAGAAUGAGGUGGUUCCCAGCCAGACCGGCACUUCACAGAAGUUCUUCCCACUUCUGUCUAGUGGCCCAGAGGGGCUGGGCCACUUGUCUUCAAUGGCAGUGUCAGAGCAGAGUGCUCUCCGUCCCUGCAGGUGGAUGUUGUGGCAAAUCAAGGCGGCCUCUUCACACUUUUUUUCUUUUCUUGUCCAACAUUGGAUGUUGAUGGUCAGAGUGACUUUGGAAACCAUUUCUUGAAGACGGCAGAGUUUCCAUGAUACCUAAAGAAGAUUAAGAAGAUGGCCAAGUUGCACCUAAAAGGCAUCCUGUAGGAUAAAUCUCCACAUCAUGCACCUCCACUGCAAUGAAGCCUCACAGUUGCUUUUGAAAAGUAUGAGUUUCUACAGUGAGCAAACAAAAUAAUGCAUAGUUCAAAGCACUUUGUAAACUAUGAAGGAUUAUACAAAUGUCAGGUAUUAUUAUUACAGAGCAAUUUUGUCUUUUUCUUUGAAAUGUUUUUUAAAUCCCUGAUAAUGUAAAGAUGUGGGUCCAUCAUGUCAUAAUGUAAGAACUCUGUUCAUUUCUCUGUAACUUAAUUUUGUAAAUUUUCUUUCUUUUUGAAUACCCCAAACUGCCCCCUCCCCUAAAUACACACACACACACACACACACACACACACACACAGCCCAAAGGGCUACUAAAUACUAAAAAUUUAAAAAGUAAUUCUGCUACUAAAUACUAAAAAUCAAAAAUGAUUAUAUUAAAACAACCUAACAUUGCAUAGCUACCAAAUCCUUCCCGUGUUGAGUAAGGAAAGGGGAUGCAUUUGUAUUUUUCACAGUACCUAUGAUGGUUUGCUAUGUAGUAUCAUGUGCAGCACAGUCACUCAAGUCAACACUGGAGAACUGAAAGAAAUAAUCGAACAUCAAGCAAGUGCUUUUUGGUAUAGCAGACAAACUCUGUGUGUACAGCAGUAGCAGGUGCGAUAAUUUCAUUGUGUUUCACACUUUUGAGGUUGGAGUUACCCUUUCCCGAGGGCAGGUGUGGGGCCCACUGAAACGGCACAGUCAAAGGCAUGCAUGGUCUGCUCCCCAGGCUGGCUGUAGGAGUAGUGAGAUGCAGUCAUUGCUGUUGUUGAAAAUUAUAAGUAUUUUGAGAUGUUUGAUCUUUUUAUUUAAACAAAAAGGUUCUCCUGUAGGUGGGAGGCCAAAUCUAUGCAGCAGAUGUAGCUGGGUAGGGGAAGUUGAUAGUGACUGACGUGGUGAUGGUGGUUUACAGUUUAUUUUAGGUGCAUUUACACACAUGAGUUUUCUAUUUUCUUUUUGAAGAUAAGGAAAAUAGAUUUAAAC